UACAGGGGGUGCAAACGUUGCUCGGAAUUAUUGGGCGUAAAGCGCGCGUAGGCGGCCACUUAAGUCGGAUGUGAAAGCCCCUGGCUCAACUGGGGAAGUGCACCCGAAACUGAGCGGCUUGAGUUCGGGAGAGGGAAGCGGAAUUCCGGGUGUAGCGGUGAAAUGCGUAGAUAUCCGGAGGAACACCGGUGGCGAAGGCGGCUUCCUGGACCGACACUGACGCUGAGGCGCGAAAGCUAGGGGAGCAAACGGG
rnacentral:rRNA from 1 species